UGGAACAUCCCCACAGGGGUCCUUGGCACAUCUGGGGCAGGUAACCACCCCCUGAGGUCCCUGUCACCUGCCCUGGUCCUGCAGCUGCAGAUGAUGCCAAUCUCACGAUGGUCUGCUGAGCCCACUGGGGCCUGACGACACUGCCACAUGGCUUUACUGAUGCAGGGACAGGACCAGGUGUGCUGGGGGCAGCUGUGGCAGCCAGGGCUGUGGGGAGCAAAGGAAGUGUGUUAGAGGGCUUGAAAAAGAGCCACAAUUGGGUGUAUAACAGAAAUGGGGAAGGAGUGGUCUGGCAGUGAGGGGCCAGCAAAUGAGGAGAAAUUCCAGAGAUGUGCCAGGUGCCACAUCCAUCCCUGGCAGUGCCCUUGGCUCCCCAGGUGCCACAUCCAUCCCUGUAUGCCCCUGGCUCCCCAGGUGCCACAUCCAUCCCUGCAGUGCCCCUGGCUCUCCAGGUGUCACAUCCCUCCCUGCAGUGCCCCUGGCUCCCCAGGUGCCACAUCCCUCCCUGGCAGUGCCCCUGGCUGCCCAUUCCCAGUCUCAGGUGUCUGCCCCGU